rnacentral:rRNA from 1 species
GAUGAACGCUGGCGGCGUGCCUAAUACAUGCAAGUCGAGCGAACAGAUGAGGAGCUUGCUCCUCUGACGUUAGCGGCGGACGGGUGAGUAACACGUGGAUAACCUACCUAUAAGACUGGGAUAACUUCGGGAAACCGGAGCUAAUACCGGAUAAUAUAUUGAACCGCAUGGUUCAAUAGUGAACGACGGUUUUGCUGUCACUUAUAGAUGGAUCCGCGCCGCAUUAGCUAGUUGGUAAGGUAACGGCUUACCAAGGCAACGAUGCGUAGCCGACCUGAGAGGGUGAUCGGCCACACUGGAACUGAGACACGGUCCAGACUCCUACGGGAGGCAGCAGUAGGGAAUCUUCCGCAAUGGGCGAAAGCUUGACGGAGCAACGCCGCGUGAGUGAUGAAGGUCUUCGGAUCGUAAAACUCUGUUAUUAGGGAAGAACAAAUGUGUAAGUAACUAUGCACGUCUUGACGGUACCUAAUCAGAAAGCAACGGCUAACUACGUG